rnacentral:rRNA from 1 species
GACGAACGCUGGCGGCGUGCUUAACACAUGCAAGUCGAACGGAAAGGCCCUGCUUUUGUGGGGUGCUCGAGUGGCGAACGGGUGAGUAACACGUGAGUAACCUGCCCUUGACUUUGGGAUAACUUCAGGAAACUGGGGCUAAUACCGGAUAGGAGCUCCUGCUGCAUGGUGGGGGUUGGAAAGUUUCGGCGGUUGGGGAUGGACUCGCGGCUUAUCAGCUUGUUGGUGGGGUAGUGGCUUACCAAGGCUUUGACGGGUAGCCGGCCUGAGAGGGUGACCGGCCACAUUGGGACUAAGAUACGGCCCAGAGUCCUACGGGAGGCAGCAGUGGGGAAUAUUGCACAAUGGGCGGAAGCCUGAUGCAGCAACGCCGCGUGCGGGAUGACGGCCUUCGGGUUGUAAACCGCUUUCGCCUGUGACGAAGCGUGAGUGACGGUAAUGGGUAAAGAAGCACCGGCUAACUACGUG